rnacentral:misc_RNA from 1 species
GAUGAAGAACGUAGCGAAAUGCGAUAAGUAAUGUGAAUUGCAGAAUUCAGUGAAUCAUCGAAUCUUUGAACGCACAUUGCGCCCGCCAGUAUUCUGGCGGGCAUGCCUGUUCGAGCGUCAUUUCAACCAUCAAGCCCCCGGCUUGUGUUGGGGACCUGCGGCUGCCGCAGGCCCUGAAAACCAGUGGCGGGCUCGCUAGUCACUCCGAGCGUAGUAAUACAUCUCGCUCAGGGCGUGCUGCGGGUUCCGGCCGUUAAAAAGCCUUAUGUACCCAAGGUUGACCUCGGAUCAGGUAGGAAGACCCGCUGAACUUAAGCAUAUCAAUAAGCGGAGGA